GUGGGGAAUUUUGGACAAUGGGCGCAAGCCUGAUCCAGCAAUGCCGCGUGAGUGAAGAAGGCCUUCGGGUUGUAAAGCUCUUUCAGUUGAGAAGAAAAGAUUGUGACUAAUAAUUGCAAUUCAUGACGGUAUCAACAGAAGAAGCACCGGCUAACUACGUGCCAGCAGCCGCGGUAAUACGUAGGGUGCGAGCGUUAAUCGGAAUUACUGGGCGUAAAGGGUGCGCAGGCGGUUCUGUAAGUCAGAUGUGAAAUCCCCGGGCUUAACCUGGGAACUGCGUUUGAAACUACAGAGCUAGAGUGUGGCAGAGGGGGGUGGAAUUCCAUGUGUAGCAGUGAAAUGCGUAGAGAUAUGGAAGAACAUCGAUGGCGAAGGCAGCCCCCUGGGUCAACACUGACGCUCAUGCACGAAAGCGUGGGGAGCAAACAGGAUUAGAAACCCUGGUAGUCC
rnacentral:rRNA from 1 species